GCGCCUGUAGCUCAGUGGUUAGAGCAUCCGACUCAUAAUCGGCAGGUCGUAGGUUCAAGUCCUACCAGGCGCACCA
rnacentral:tRNA from 1 species